rfam:Callithrix jacchus chromosome 3, whole genome shotgun sequence
AGAAAGGAUUUUCAUCCACCCUGAAUGUGCCUGAUCUCAUCUGAUCUCAGACACUAAGCAGGGUCAAGCCUGCUUAGUACUUGGAUGGAAAUAAGAUAUUCUUAAUA